CAGUUUCUAAAUCAUUUCAACAAAUCUAAUCUACACAUUUUCUUAAGAGUUGUUCUUCCUCUUUGUGUGUUGUGAAUUCGACUGAACCAACACAAUUUCUUGUAUCAGAAGAAGUAGAUGGUGAAAACUAAAGCAAGGCUUAAGCGGUUUUGGGACCGCUUCGGUGGUCGAUCAUCGGGAUCAUCAUCUUCUUCUUCUUCAUACGACUCCUCGGACACCAUCCAAAACCAAAACUACAGAUACGAUGUGUUUAUCAGUUUCAGAGGUCCUGACACCCGCAACUCUUUCGUUGAUCAUCUCUGCUCUCAUCUCCUCCGAAAGGGCAUUUUCCUCUUCAAAGAUGACCACAGUCUACAGAAAGGAGAAUCCAUUUCCCCACAGCUUCUACAAGCAAUUCAACUUUCACGCCUUUCCAUCAUUGUCUUUUCCAAAAAUUAUGCUUCCUCAACUUGGUGUUUAGACGAAAUGGCCGCUAUAGCUUCUUGCAAACAACGAUCAAACCACAUUGUAUUUCCCAUUUUUUAUGAUGUAGAUCCAUCUCAUGCAAGACAUCAGAAUGGGGUAUACGAGAAUGACUUCGUUUCACACAGACGCAAAUUCAGAAAAGAUCGGGACAAGGUUCGUGGAUGGGAGAGGGCUAUGACGGAUUUGGCCAAUUCAGCUGGUUGGGAUAUGAGGGACAAGCCAGAGUUUGAACAGAUUCAAAACAUUGUUCAAGCAGUAAUUAAAAAAUUAGGCCAUAAGUUUUCGUGGUUUGUCGAUGACCUUAUUGGGAUACAACAACGCGUACAAACAUUAGAAGACAAAUUAAAACUAAGUUCAAACAGCGAUGAUGUUAAAGUUUUAGGAAUUUGGGGUAUGGAUGGAAUAGGAAAGACUACUCAUGCCGGUGUCUUGUAUGAUAAAAUCUCUCAUAGGUUUGAUGCUUGUUGUUUCAUUGAGAAUGUCAGCAAACUUUAUUCAGACGGUGGCCAUACUGCUGUUCAAAAAGAAAUUAUUUAUCAAACUUUAGGUCAAAAAGGUCUAGAUAUGUGUAGUCCUGUUCAAAUAUCUGGGAUUGUAAGAACUAGGAUACACAACAUAAGGGUUCUCAUAGUUCUUGACAAUGUCGAUGAAUUAGAGCAAUUGGAAAAUUUGGCCAUAAAACCAAAAUUGCUUUUGAAGGGAAGUAGAAUGGUUAUUACCACAACAGAUAUGCAUAUUCUGAAAGUGUAUGAGGGUGGCGUAUUGAUACACAAGGUUUCAUUAUUGAAUGAUAAGGUUGCUCGUGAAUUGUUCUGUAGGAAAGCCUUCAAAAGUGAAGAGCGAAGCAGUAGUUGUGAGGCGUUGAUUCCUGAGGUACUCAAGUAUGCCCAAUGUCUUCCAUUGGCAAUUAGAGUGUUGGGUUCUUUCUUGUGUACUCGAGAUGCGGUUGAAUGGAGAGAUGUAUUGAAUAGAUUGCAAAGUAGUCCAGAUAAAAAAAUUAUGAAUGUACUUCAAUUAAGUGUUGAUGGACUAAACCAUGAGGAAAAACAAAUAUUUUUACACAUUGCAUGUUUCUUUAAAGGGGAGAGGGUGGAUUUUGUUAAGCGAAUUCUAGACUGUUGUGAGUUAUACCCUCACAUUGGAAUUUCAAGACUCAUUGAGAAAUCACUCGUCACUAUUAGCAAUGAAGAAAUUCAUAUGCAUGAAUUGUUACAAGAAUUGGGAAAGAAAAUGGUUUGGGACCAAUCUCCACAAGAACCAAGAUUCUGGAGUAGAAUAUGGCUUCAUAAAGACUUCUUGCAAGUCUUGACAGCAGAAGCGGGAACAGAAAAGGUGAAAGCCAUAGUUUUAAAUAAAGAAGAAGAAAUGUCGGAAUGUAGUAUUGGUGGAUUGUCAAGAAUGAAGGAGCUAACAUUGCUUAUAUUAUAUCACACAAAAGUUUCAGGAAGCUUGGAAUUUCUUUCAGACAGGCUGCGAUAUCUAUUGUGGCAUGAUUAUCCUUUUGAUUCUCUGCCUCCAUAUUUUACGGUCUCCAAUCUCGUGGAGUUGAAUAUGCCUAACAGUCACAUCAUAAGUUUAUGGCACGGUAGCAAGAGCUGUCCCAACUUGAAAAGGAUUGAUUUAAGCAACUCCAAGGACUUGUGUGAGACUCCAGAUUUUUCCAGAAUCAUAAAACUUGAAAGGCUAGAUCUUUCUGGAUGUACAAGUUUAUCUUAUGUCCAUUCAUCAAUAGGACUUCUUAAGAAACUUGCUUUCUUGAAUUUACGAAAUUGUUGCAAUCUAGUUUUCAUUGACUUUGGCUGUGUAGGCAACAUGAGUUCUCUGAGAGUUCUACAUCUCUCUGGCUGUUCUAAACUUGAAAGCACCCCAGAUUUUACAAGGGCAACACAUCUUGAGUACCUUGACAUGGAUGCAUGUACAAGUUUAUCCACUAUUCAUGAGUCUAUUGGAGUCCUUUCAAGUCUUACUUUCUUGAGUUUGAGAGUUUGCAUAAAGCUUGUCAGUAUUCCAAAUGAUAUCAAUUCCUUGGUAUCUCUUCAAACUCUAGAUUUAUGCAGUUGUUUGAACCUUAAAGAUAUGCUACAAAGACAAGCAUCUUCAUCCCAUUUAAAAUCCUUGAUUUUUCUGGACCUGAGUUUUUGCAAUAUAGAAGAAGUACCUGAUGCUAUUGGAGACUUAAGAUGUUUAGAAAGACUCAAUCUACAGGGAAACAAAUUUGUUUCAAUACCUGAUUCCUUCCGUAAACUUCAUUGUCUAGCAUAUUUAAACUUAUCUCAUUGUCAUAAGCUUAAAUCUUUGCCUGACCUUCCAACUGAAGGAGAUAAAUCAGGGGGGAAGUAUUUUAAAACGGUAUCUGGAUCUCGUGAUCAUAGAUCAGGCUUUUAUAUCUUUGAUAGUUCCAAUGUGUCUCACGAUAGACUUGAGUUCGUCGGACUUGAACGCUUCUUCCACCUAAUUAAGGAACCCUGUAACUUUCGGUGUGGCUUUGACCUUGUUCUUCUUCGGGAUAGGAGACUUCGACCAGUCUUCGGUGAAACAUUCUUAGGGAAUUCAAUUAUAAGGAUACUUCAGUGUGUUAAGAAUGACAACUGGAUUGGCUUUAGUUUUUUUGUUAUAUUUAGGCAAAAUACUGUUGGUGGAUUUCCUCCUCACUCUUCAUUUUCUUCAUCGCAUCCACUUUAUCUUUCUUUUGAAAGUGAAUACACGGAAGAGUACUUUGAUAUGCGACUUAAUUUGAAGGCGGAUCAAAGUGAAGAAUCUACACAUAUUUGGAUAAUUUACAUCAGUAGAGAACACUGUCAUUUUGUGAAAACAGGGGCGCUUAUCACAUUUAAAGCGCAACCAUAUAUUAAGAUCGAUGCAUGGGGGAUGAGACCUAUUCUCAAACAAGAUAUACAUGACAGUAAAGGGAAGAAAUACAUACAAUUUUUCAAAUUAAAUUAUGAUCAUGUGGACUUUGAGUAUGUAGAAAAAAGCAACACUGGUUCAGGGCCGAAAAUCCAGCUUCCUUACAAUUGGUAUGUCACAGCGGAAGAGCAAGUUGAGAAUAUUGAUGCAAAGGCUAAAGAAAAUAAUCUCUCCAAUGCAGGUCUUUAAGUUGCUUGUAAGAUAUAUGAAAAUGGAAACUCACAUCUUUUCCGACAUAUGAUUCUUGAAACACUUAAUGCAGUCUUCCAAAGAUGUCGAAGGUGAAAGUAGGUUUGUGCAUGUAAAUGUUUAAUUUUUUUGGUUGAGUAAGUGGAUCCUUUCAUUUUUUUUUUUAUUACUAGCUUUGUUAGUGAUGCAAGUAACGAAAUCUACACGUUAAGAUAUUCCU